GUCCUUAUGAAGAGGGGAGAUUUGGACAUAGAGACAGACAGGUGCUAGGGAAAGCACCACGUGAAGAUUGGAGUUAUGCUGCCAAGGAUCUACAAGGAGCUGGGAGAGAGGCCGGAGCAGGUCCUUCCCAGAGCCCUCAGGGGCAGCAUAGCCCUGCCGACACCCUGAUUUCAGUCUUCUGGCUUCCAGAACAGUGAGACGAUAUAUUUCUGUGGUUCUAAGCCACCCAGUUUGUGGUACUUUGCUCUGGCAACCCUAGCAAAGAAUACAGAGGGACUAAAAGGAGGUCCACGGAUGCGCUGCUGAAACCAGGAAUCCAGGUCAGGCCCGAUUUGUCCUGUUCCAACUAGAGAUGUGCUCCUCCUUCAGGAAGAAAUCCUGCUUUUGCCAGAAUGUACUCUUGUCUCUCCUUCUGGCCCUUUGGGCUCAAGAGUUCCACUGCUGUGAUUCAUGCAGAACAAAGAGGGAGCGCCUCAGCCUGGCUGUCAAGCCCUUCAUCCAUUCACCGAUGUAUUCAUUCAGCAAGCGACUGCCAGCCGCCUAUCAGGAGAGAGGGAGUUUUCAGAUAAAGG
rnacentral:lncRNA from 10 species